rnacentral:rRNA from 1 species
AACGAACGCUGGCGGCAUGCCUAACACAUGCAAGUCGAACGGGAUCCAGGCUUCGGCCUGGUGAGAGUGGCGGACGGGUGAGUAACGCGUGGGAACCUGCCCAAUGGUCUGGGAUAACCGCGGGAAACUGCGGCUAAUACCGGAUGAGCCCGAGAGGGGAAAGAUUUAUCGCCGAUGGAGGGGCCCGCGUCAGAUUAGGUAGUUGGUGGGGUAAUGGCCUACCAAGCCUACGAUCUGUGGCNGGUCUGAGAGGAUGAUCAGCCACACUGGGACUGAGAUACGGCCCAGACUCCUACGGGAGGCAGCAGUGGGGAAUAUUGGACAAUGGGGGCAACCCUGAUCCAGCAAUGCCGCGUGAGUGAUGAGGGCCUUAGGGUUGUAAAGCUCUUUUGCCAGGGGACGAUGAUGACGGUACCUGGAGAAUAAGCCCCGGCUAACUUCGUGCCAGCAGCCGCCGUAAC